rnacentral:rRNA from 1 species
GAGGAAUAUUGGUCAAUGGACGCAAGUCUGAACCAGCCACGUCGCGUGAAGGAAGACGGCCCUACGGGUUGUAAACUUCUUUUGUAAGGGAAUAAAGUGCAGUACGCGUACUGUUUUGCAUGUACCUUACGAAUAAGGAUCGGCUAACUCCGUGCCAGCAGCCGCGGUAAUACGGAGGAUCCGAGCGUUAUCCGGAUUUAUUGGGUUUAAAGGGUGCGCAGGCGGGAGAUUAAGUCGGCGGUGAAAUUUUGCAGCUCAACUGUAACAGUGCCUUCGAAACUGGUUUCCUUGAGUGUGGAUGAAGUAGGCGGAAUUUGUGGUGUAGCGGUGAAAUGCAUAGAUAUCACGAGGAACUCCGAUUGCGCAGGCAGCUUACUAAGCCAUAACUGACGCUCAGGCACGAAGGCGUGGGGAUCAAAC